GAUAAGUAUGUGAAUUGCAGAUUUCAGUGAAUCAUCGAAUCUUUGAACGCACCUUGCGCUCCUUGGUAUUCCGAGGAGCAUGCCUGUUUGAGUGUCAU
rnacentral:rRNA from 1 species